rnacentral:lncRNA from 13 species
CACAUCCCAGUGGACAAAGUGGUGGAGAUGGUCCAAACUGACCAGGCAGAGGAAGAGGAGCUUCUUGACAGCAGCAUUGUCCCUGACUCCCAGCCUACCAUGAAAACAGAGAGUACUAUGUAAGUACAUGGUCUCUGUCAUUCAAAUUACAAUUGAUUUAAAAUCUGAUUUUGAAUCAGACAUGUUUACUCAUAGAGGAGCUUUGAGACCGUGUGUGCGUGCGUGCAUCUCUGUGUGUGUUCGAACAGAUUCUCCCACUGGAGGAAAGUGUCUGUAUCUGAGAUGCUGCUGCCGGUACAGAGAGGCUUCCAGAAGGCACUGCCCAAACCAGAACUUGAGAACGUAGAGCAACAGGAGCGUCCGUCAUCGGCCCAGAGAGGUUCUGGGUCGGUCCCUGGGUCAGCAGUCAGCCACAAGCAGCUCCACGCCCAGCUCACCCAGCGCCUGGAGGAGGUCCUCCGCAAGAGGGACCGGGGUACUGGGCCCGAGGAGCGAGCUGGAGUCCAGAUCAGAGUGCCUGAGGAGCGAGGUAGGCCACAGGACCGAGGGUCCCGAGAGCGAGCUGGAGCCCAGGGAGGAAGCGGGCCUGAGGAGCAAAGUGGAGCCCAGGGAGGACGAGGGCCUGAGGAGCAAGAUGGAGCCCAGGGAGGAAGAGGGCCUGAGGAGCGAGGUGAGCCCACUGGGAGAGGUGCCAAAGUGUCACGGCAGGAUGCAGGAAGGCCUGGUCAGACCAAGGGGAAACCUAAGAGCCAGAAGUCUCAGGAAACUGAAGCCACCCCAGGGAAAGCCCCUGUCAAACCCACCCCAGCUAAAGAUAUACAGGAGAGGGCAACACCUAACUCCAAGGUUAAGGCCACUGGGUCAAACUCCAGUAAAGACAAGAUCUGUUUUGGAGAAGAGUUGGUUGCCGCCAUCGAUGGUGGGAAGGGCAAAAGCACCAGGAUAUAUGAAGUCCUACACUAACUCCAAGAAGCCCUCUGCAGAACAACAAGGAGAUGACGUCUUUGCGUUCAAAGUGGAUACAUCUAUGACCACUAGGGGGGAGGGGAAAAUGUCCUCGGACACCUCUGCCAUUGAUAGCAGUGCUACUCACAACUCCUGGGCAUUCCCCAGCACUGCCAAGAAGGGCCAAGCAGUCAAGUCCCAGGUAGCAGCUCCGCGGCGCCACGUGAAGAAGCACCUGUUCAGCGACACAGACACAGACGCCAUGAUGGAGAUCAGCUGGCUCAAAGAGUCCAGCAGGAAGCCCAAGCCCAAAGUGAUCGACUACAGCCGUCAGCCCCGGCUCCACCCUCCUGCCCCCAACACCACAUAUGAGUCCCCAGACUUACCACCUAGCUCACCCAAGCCUGUGAAGGAGAAAGCCAAGCCAAAGAAGAAGAGACAGAGGGUGAAGGAGAGAAGUGUAGAGCAGAAAGAGAACCGUGGAGCGGCACUGGUGGCGGCAGGGACCAGUCAAGCAGCCAGGAGGCCCCAGAGAGCCGCCGCCACCAAUGCCAAGAGCUACAGGGAGCCCGACAGCGCCAGCCAAUCAGAGACUGAAGAGCCGCCAGCUCCUAAGAAGCGCUCCAUCGGACCAGCGGAAAAGAUUGAGAAGGUUUGCCAAGAGGCUGUCGAGGUGAAGAAGAAAAAGGCAACCACCCCGGCCAAGGAACAGACGAAUGUACCGAAAGAGUCUUCUUGGGCUGCCCGGCUGGCCUCUUUCAAUCCUUCCCCGCCUGCCAUCGAGAGGAUGAGAGCUGCAUCCGAGAGGUCGCUGAUAGUCUUACCCCGGUCGCCCCUCACCCCGCAGGGCUCCCUGUCCGCCUCCCCUGCCAGCGGCCCCUCUUCACCCCUUGCCCUGGAGCUGCCCCCCGAACACCCUCGCAGCAGCGCGGGCUUCCAGCCCUCCUCCUUCUACAGCGCCCCUGGGAGGAAGAGUGACCGCAAAGCUAAGGAUCCCUCUCUCCCAUCCCUCCCCUCUCUCCCAUCCCUUACUCCCACUGGCAAGACUCCUGGCCUCCGCGCCCAGAGACCCAGUGCCUUAGAGGUAAGAUUCAAGGCUGAUACUGCACCAAUGGGCCUUCUGACACAUAAAAAUAAUACAUAA